UCUCCGUUGGUGAACCAGCGGAGGGAUCAUUACUGGAAUCGCAAGAUCCCACAACCCUGUGAACCUACCGAAACGUUGCCUCGGCGGGUGCCCGGCCUCUGCGCCGGGCGCUGCGCCCGCCGGCGGCCCCCUACUCUGUCUCUGCAGCGUGGCAUCUCAGAGUCCCAGAAAACAAGUCAAAACUUUCAACAACGGAUCUCUUGGCUCUAGCAUCGAUGAAGAACGCAC
rnacentral:misc_RNA from 1 species